rnacentral:rRNA from 1 species
AUGCGCCCGAGCACCUCCAUGGCCGAACUCCUCCUCGCGCGCCCUCGUCCACGAAGCAGUCAGCCUCCCAGGCGCCCCUCGCCAACAGCCUUCACGCGAGCGCUCUCGCAGGAGCUCAAACCCGAGUCGAGCCAGUCACCCCUGCCGCCCGCCGGCGAUCUGCAACAACAAGACCCCUGCCGGAAGCAUCAGUUCCCUCGCAGCGGCGCAGUUUGUCCUUCAGUGCUCCCCUUGCAGCCUCCCCAGACUUGGUCUUCGCUUGGUGUUGGCGGACAGUCGAGCAGGAGCAUCUCCCGCACUGGCCUCGACCGCCUCUUGUAA